GGUAAGGUAAUGGCUUACCAAGGCAACGAUCAGUAGUUGGUCUGAGAGGACGACCAGCCACACUGGGACUGAGACACGGCCCAGACUCCUACGGGAGGCAGCAGUGGGGAAUUUUGGACAAUGGGCGCAAGCCUGAUCCAGCAAUGCCGCGUGAGUGAAGAAGGCCUUCGGGUUGUAAAGCUCUUUCAGUUGAGAAGAAAAGAUUGUAACUAAUAAUUGCGAUCCAUGACGGUAUCAACAGAAGAAGCACCGGCUAACUACGUGCCAGCAGCCGCGGUAAUACGUAGGGUGCGAGCGUUAAUCGGAAUUACUGGGCGUAAAGGGUGCGCAGGCGGUUCUGUAAGUCAGAUGUGAAAUCCCC
rnacentral:rRNA from 1 species